rnacentral:rRNA from 1 species
CCAAUAGCGUAUAUUAAAGUUGUUGCAGUUAAAAAGCUCGUAGUUGAAUUUCGGGAUCAACAUGUCGGUCGUGCCUCGGUACGUACUGGCAUUGUUGGUUUCUCCCUUCUGACGAACCAUGAUGUCAUUCAUUUGGUGUCGUGGGGAAUCAGGACUGUUACUUUGAAAAAAUUAGAGUGUUUAAAGCAGGCUCACGCUUGAAUACAUUAGCAUGGAAUAAUGAAAUAGGACGUUUGAUUCUAUUUUGUUGGUUUCUAGGAUCGACGUAAUGAUUAAUAGGGAUAGUUGGGGGCAUUAGUAUUCAAUUGUCAGAGGUGAAAUUCUUGGAUUUAUUGAAGACUAACUACUGCGAAAGCAUUUGCCAAGGAUGUUUUCAUUAAUCAAGAACGAAAGUUAGGGGAUCGAAGACGAUCAGAUACCGUCGUAGUCUUAACCAUAAACUAUGCCGACUAGGGAUCGGAUGAUGUUAAUUUUUUAAUGACUCAUUCGGCGCCUUACG